AGUCCUUGGGAGGAACGUUUUCCCCCUUUUCUGGUUUACAAGACCAGGGUAAAUGUGC
rnacentral:tRNA from 1 species